rnacentral:lncRNA from 1 species
UAACCACUUAUGAAGAUCAAAGAUCAUAGCUUUGCAUUGGGUUUCAGUCUAGUUGCCUGAGCCCAUUGCCCUCGGCAGAGGCGACGGCGACUUGAACGACGACGCGGAAUCGGAGGGUGCCGCCAUUGAUUGGAUUCAAUUGAUUGGACUUAGUCGUUGGCUGGGUGGACUUCAUCGGAGGACAAGCUAUUCGAGUAGGUGUGGCCGCGUGGGUGAGCUUCUCCGAGGACUUGUCGGAUCGGUGGGAGCUAAUCGUCGAGAUGGUACCGGGAC